GCACAAUGGUUCAAAUUACUGUCCCAAAGAAACUUGCACAACAGUUUCGACCUUUACUUGCUGAAGGCCAAGGAUCAGUCUAUAUAUUUACAAAUCUUACUGCAGUUGACAGCAAACAAAGGACAUACAUCUAUCAUCAUCAAAAGUACAUGCUACAGUUCCAGCCCAACUCGAAGGUCCAUCGUCUUGAUUCGCGAGGAGAUAAGAUCCCCCACUAUGCAUUCAAAUUUGCCCAUUUGAUCAGUUAUCAUCAAAAGACAUUACAUCAAAGCCACUUCUAGAUUUAAUAGGAGUUAUCAGCCAUAUAGGACCUUAUGAUUUUGCUAGCGCAACAACAAGUACAAAACUCCGAAAAGUCAAGAUUCGAGACCAAGAGGAACAAACACAGGAAAUACAACUAUGGGGCGAACAUGGCGAAACAUUUAACGAGGCUGAAUUCCUUGAAAAAUCUAAGCAAGGGAUCGUUGUUGCAAUGUUUGCUGGAUUAACUGCUGGAAGCUUUAAAGGAGUAACACAGGCAUCAUCAAGUUCUGCAACACAAAUAUUAGUUGACUUAGACAUUCCUCAAAUUUCUGAAUUCCGUACAAGCUACAAAUGGGAAGCUCCAUCUCUGUAACAGCAUGCACCUCAAGUACUUCAGUUAUCUCCAAUCCAAGCAGCUGGCCAAAUAUACACACUUGACAAAAUAAUUGAACUACCAGCAACAUCUUUCCAGGGAGGUGCUACAUACAGCUGCAUUGCAAAAUUAUCUGCCAUACUGCCAGGCACAAAAUGGUACUACAAAGCAUGUCGAAAUUGUAAAGUGGGAUAUGGAAGCAUUUCAGAAGAACCAAGAUGUGAUUGUGCAGCUUCACAGCCAAUGCCAAUGUACAAACUUCCUAUUACCAUUACAGAUGAUACUGGAAGCAUAGACACAAUAGCUUUCUCUUUCAUAGCUGAAGAUUUGGUAGAACGUAGUGCAUAUCAUGCUUCUCAAAACAUGAAAAUUGAUGCAACAGAACAUGUAGCUGCUUUAAAUAAAGCAAUCGGAAAAACUAGACUCUUCUACAUAGAAAUGAGCACUAAUUCGUCCUCAACUUUUUCCAUCAAAUAUGUCUUGAGGAAGAGUUUUCAAAUAGAGAAUUCAAGUUCACAUUCAAAGGAACCAGCUGCACAGGCAACAUCUGUCAUGGCAGCACUACCUUCUCCAGCUCAAAACACAGGAUCUGAAAGCUCAAACGCAAAGAGAUCAUUAGAUUUCAAAGAUAACAUAGAAUGCAAGGAAAAAGAUCAAACACCUACCUCCCAGCCUCUUCCUAAACGUCAAAGACCAGAAUAACAACAUGGCGAAACACUUGGUACAAGCUCUUUGCUCAGCGUCACAUUACUUCAAUAUAUAUCCAGAGGCAUCUGUGUCUCUGAUGCUUGACUACUUUUCCUUAUAGUGCUUUUACAAUAAUACUUCAAUAAACUUUCACAUUUGCGGCACUCUAAAUCUCUUAUUUAUGUCAAAACUGAACUUCAUACAAGUACUGUAUUUUCGUGUACCUAUUUCUGAAUCUGAACAUUCUAAAAGUUGAAGAGUGACCGUGAGAUGCA